AAGAUUAAUAUAAUUUAAAUAUUAUUAUUUAUUUUAGAAGAUAUAAAUGUUAUAACAAAAAAAAAUAUGAAUUUUUAUUCGUAAUAACGAUUCUAUUUUUAGUACGUUUUCUUACGCUUCGUUAUCGUAUAUAUGUCGUUGUAGUAAAUACGCAUUGUUACCUUGCAUACAAGAAUGAUCUUAGAAGUACAAUAACAAAAACAUUCGAUAAAUAAAACAUGAAAUCGCCGACGAUGGAAGAAAAUCUAUAAACAAGAAAGUGUCUAUGGAACUACAGCUCAGUUGAAAUAUUAGUUAUAUAAUCAACAAAAAUUAUGUGCUAUGAUUCGUAUAGAUUUUUCAAAAAUUCUAAAUUUCUGGCACACGUAAUCUGUAUAUAGAAAUAUUUUGAAGAAUGAAUUAAGCUGAAUCUAUGUGAAUAUUAUUCAAAAUCUAAGCGUAAAGUAACAAUAAGAAGAGUAAGAUGAUGAGUAGAUAAAGGACGAUAAGGAAAAGAUGGAGAAGGAAGAGUGCGGAACAUCCCCUAUAGUGUAUUUUCCUUCCACUUGUAAACAGUGUAAUUGCAGUAUAUUCUUUCAGUUGUUAUCUCAUGUUACAAUGUAUUGCAACAUAUUGCACCAUAUUGAAAUAUGUUAUAUCAGUUGCUAACUCACGUUCCAAAGUUGCUAUUGCACCAUUGUAUCAGUUGUUAACUCAUAUUGAAAGUUAUACUAAAUAUUUUACUUUAAUAUAUAUGUUACUUUAAAUAAUUAUAUUAAGGAUUUUG